rnacentral:rRNA from 1 species
AUUGAACGCUAGCGGGAUGCCUUACACAUGCAAGUCGAACGAGUGGCGAACGGGUGAGUAAUGUAUCGGAACGUGCACAGUAGCGGGGGAUAACUACGCGAAACGUAGCUAAUACCGCAUACUAUUGGAGUGGCCGAUAUCGGACUAGCUAGUUGGGGGGGUAACGGCACACCAAGGCGACGAUCCGUAGCGGGUUUGAGAGGACGACCAGCCACCAUGGGACUGCGACACGGCCCAGACGCCUACGGGAGCCAGCAGUGGGGAAUUUUGGACAAUGGGGGAAACCCUGAUCCAGCCAACCCGCGGGUGCGAUGAAGGCCUUCGGGUUGUAAAGCACUUUUGGCAGGAAAGCGGUACCUGCAGAAUAAGCACCGGCUAACUACGUGCCAGCAGCCGCGGUAAUAC